rnacentral:lncRNA from 1 species
GCUGACUCUCUUUUCGGACUCAGGCGCCUGCACCCAGGUGAAAUAAACAGCCAUGUUGCUCACACAAAGCCUGUUUUGUGGUCUCUUCACACGGACGCGCAUGAAAUUUGGUGCCAUGACUCGGAUCGGGGGACCUCCCUUGGGAGAUCAAUCCCCUGUCCUCCUGCUCUUUGCUCCGUAAGAAAGAUCCACCUACGACCUCAGGUCCUCAGACCUACCAGCCCAGGAAACAUCUCACCAAUUUCAAAUCCGAUCUUCUCGGCUUAGCAGCUGAAGACUGACACUGCCUGAUCGCCUCGGGAGCCCCCUAGACCAUCACGGACGCCGAGCUUCGGGUAACUCUCACAGUGGAGGUCCCCUUUUCCCCUGUUCAAUGAGGUACAGCCUCUUGUCCCACGACCAAGAAGAACAAGGCACGCAGACACCAGUGGUCCAGGAUGUGCUGACAUAAACUCCUAUAACUCCAUCUCUGCUUUACUUGGGAACACCAUGAUAAUCAGCAAUUUCUACAAUCUGUUUUCUAAAUGUUGUAAUGAGGACUGGGCUCAGCUAUACAGUUUUUCAUCAGGGUCUCUCAUGCAGUUGCUGUCGUAUAGUAUUGAAGAUGAAGUCAGCUUGGAGACUUUCUCACUCACAAGUCUGGUGAUUGCUGCUGUCUGCUGGCUGUGACGUCAGCUAGGGCUAUAUGCCUGGACACCUCCUACACAUGAUCCCACGACGUGGCCUGGACUUCCUCACAGCAUGAAGGAUGGAUUCCAAGAGCAAAAGUCUGAAGACACACAGUCAGGCAGAUGCCGUAUUGCCUUGUUAUGCUAAGCCUCAGGAGUCAGAGUCACAAAAACCAACAUAUUUUCAAAGUGAGAAUAAACAACCCCGUCUCCUGAUGGAAGCAUGGCAAAGCAUUUGCAAACAUAUUUUAAAGCCACCACCUAAAUAUGACAUUUAAACUUUUCUAUAGAUAGGAUCUUAAUUUAACAACAAAAGGAAGGGAAACAAAGAACUACCAAGACAUCUAAGAAAAUAGGAAAUUUGGGAUGUUUAGAAAACUAAAAAGGCUUACACAAUGUGUGUGUGUGUGUGUGUGUGUGUG